rnacentral:rRNA from 1 species
AUUGAACGCUGGCGGCAUGCCUUACACAUGCAAGUCGAACGGCAGCACGGGUGCUUGCACCUGGUGGCGAGUGGCGAACGGGUGAGUAAUACAUCGGAACAUGUCCUGUAGUGGGGGAUAGCCCGGCGAAAGCCGGAUUAAUACCGCAUACGAUCUACGGAUGACAGCGGGGGACCUUCGGGCCUCGCGCUAUAGGGUUGGCCGAUGGCUGAUUAGCUAGUUGGUGGGGUAAAGGCCUACCAAGGCGACGAUCAGUAGCUGGUCUGAGAGGACGACAGCCACACUGGGACAGAGACAGGGCCCAGACUCCUACGGGAGGCAGCAGUGGGGAAUUUUGGACAAUGGGCGAAAGCCUGAUCCAGCAAUGCCGCGUGUGUGAAGAAGGCCUUCGGGUUGUAAAGCACUUUUGUCCGGAAAGAAAUCCUUGGCCCUAAUACGGUCGGGGGAUGACGGUACCGGAAGAAUAAGCACCGGCUAACUACGUG